rnacentral:misc_RNA from 1 species
CAGGCUCCCGUGGAGAGGAAAGCCCUGGACCUCACCCCCCUGAGGGAGGCGAAGCUGCCCGUUAUCUUUGUUCUGGGCGGUCCAGGAUGCGCAAGGAAGAACACAGUGUGAGAAGAUCGUCAAGCAGUAUGCUAACUACACCCACCUUUCCUCCGGUGACCUGCUCAGGACGAGGUCAAGUCGGGUCAGAGCGUGGCAAGGCGCUCAACGAGAUCAUGGAGAAGGGGGACCUGGUUCCGCUGGAGGUCGUGCUUGACCUCAUCGCCGAGGCCAUGCUCAACAAGGUGUCCUCCUCCAAGGGGUUCCUGAUCGACGGCUACCCGAGAGAACAGGCUCAAGGUGUUCAGUUUGAGCAGUCUAUCCUGCCCUGCACCAAGGUCCUGUACUUCGAGGUCCCCGACGAGGUGAUGGUGGAGCGCCUCCUGAACCGCGCCAAGACCUCCGGCCGCGUCGACGACAACGAGGAGACCAUCAAGAAGCGGCUGGCCACCUUCCACAAGCACUCGGAGCCCGUGAUCCAGUACUACAAGGAAAAAUGCGCCACCAUUGUCGCCCUCGCUUCUCCCGACGAGGUGUUCGCCGAGGUGCAGAAGGCCCUCAGCACCAUCCAGUGAGGAGGCGGUCCCGGAAACUCGCUCCCAUGUCCCCACUCCCGCGUAUUCCUCUUCUCCUCCCCACCCUCCUCCUCCUCUUCCUCCUUUUCGCCUGGCUCUUGGGUUUCCCCCUUUGUGGGCUCGCGUCUCCCACCCCUUUGGCGUCUCCUUCUCCGUGUCUGUCUCUCGUUCCCGCUCUUCUCUGGUCUUCCAAGGCUCCGAUCUCCCGAUGAUGUCUUCCUCGACAACCUCCAGAACUAUGCAUUACAUUAAUUUAAGAGUGACUUCGGAAGAAAGCAACAUAGUCUACGCAUCUGACACGAACACCGUGACUCAUAGACUCGAGGAAAUGAAAACCAUCUUCCUCUCCGCGACCUGCUACUCUCCCAAGCCAGAGAGUAAGGUCCCGAGGAAAUUAAUACCAUUCUCCUCUUCGCGACCUGCUACUCUCCCAAGCCAGAGAGUAAGUCCCCACGGCACACAUAGCUAGACUUCACGAUUCUGUGUCUUGUCAACCUGCUCGGCAAAAAGCUUAAAAUCCACAAAACACGAGUGAAGGGAAAAAAAAAAGCUUCUUGGAUAAACCGACGUACAAGUGUCUCUCACAAGGAGGUUAUCUUAAUCUAGUUCAGCGAUGGACUGCGCCCUUGUCUGUAGGAACACCGAAAGUCCGGCGCCCAUAUUGGGUGGUCGACGUCCGUUCUCAAUUGUUAUUAUCAUCAUCGUCAUCAACUAUCAUGUUUUUCAGUCAUUGCCAUAUUUUUCUUGGUGGAUAAUUGACUUAAUCACAGAGGACGAUUCAACUGAUACUUUUCGGACUUACGGAAUAAACUGUGACUCUGGACUUGUUGUCUGACGGUGACUCCCUUGACAGCUUUCUUGACAUACAUCGGACGCCUGGAAUUGGAAUAGAGAAAAAAUAAUUCAAUUCUAUUGUAUUUAUAUACUAGUUAGCACCAUUUAAACCGCAGUACUAUUUAUAAUUUAUUGAUUAUAAAUAGUACCGUAUUAGACUGGAGGAGGAAUUUUGACUCACAGGGAAACUUAAGACUUACUCUUUUAUUGACUGACGGAGGAAAGGACUAGAAUAGCACAAGAUCUGACUUAUAGAAGGUAUUUAUGACUUACUGACUAGACCAAUGAAGGAACUUCUGACCCAACGAAGGAACCAGUGACUGAUCUAAACAGCUGACAGGAGAAUCCCAGAAGAAUUGUGACUGACAAUAAAAAGAUGUGUGACUGAUGAAGCUGACGAUAAAUAAUUAUGUUUAAAUGACAAAAAAUUAAUAUGCUUGACUGAUGAAGCUGUAUGACUAACGAAGAAUCUGAGUGACUGAUUGACUUAAGAGACCGCAAAUUGCCAAAGAAACUUAAACUGUUCGAGGAGACUGUGACUGAUAAAGUACUGAAGACGAAAAAAAAGUGCAAAUGACAAUGCAAAAUCAAGACUAAAUAUAUUUUGCUUCAAGAAUACAAAAACUGCGACUUUCCGGCACAACUUUGACUGACUGUAGAUAAGAACUUUGACUGAAACAGGAAUGACUGACUUAAAUGGAUAACUUUUUUGAUAGACUAUGACUGACUGAAUAAAUUAAAUAAGAAUAUGUGACUGACUAAAAGAAACCAGGUUUGACUGAAGAAUAUAUGACUGAUCCAAAAUAAUUUACUGACUAAACUUAUGACUGACUGACCAAAAAUAAUUUACUGACUAAACAUGAAUGACUGAAAUAAUUAUAUUAAUUACUCAUGCCAACUACUCUCUCUCACAAAAAUAAGACAAAUAAUAUGACUCCUUGACUGACUAAAGAGAUUUUAAACCCAAACUGACCUGAUAAGUCAUCUCGUGACUUACUAAAAACAAAUAUAAAAAACAACAACGUGACUUGAGUGAAGAGGAUGAGACCAAAGACCAGAAACCAGAGACCGAAGACCAUAAAUAAACUUAACGUUAAACAAAUAAACAUCAAGACGAACCAGAAUAAAACUAAUACAAAAAAAAAAAAUAAUAAAACAUAUUUUAGGGUAUCACAUGAUAUAAAUAAGAAAUAAAGAAAUAAAGACUAAUGCAGACUACUAUAUUUAAGUGUUCAAUUAUGACAGAUAUUGAUGACUGACAUACAAUAGACAGACUGAAUGGCAUAUAAGACUUUGAACUAAGUAGCUGUCACGUCUGGAGAGAAUAACUUAGAGGAUAUUAAAACCCCAAAACUGUAGGACACAAGACAGCCAGACAGACACAAGACAAACUAGACAGACACUAGACAACCCAAAAAAAAAAAAUGUAAAACUCACUAGACAGACACUACAUGUACUAGACAAACAGACAGAUAUUACAUAGACUAGACAGCCAGACAGACUACAUAUACUAGACAGCCAGACAGAUUACAUACACUAGACAGACACUACUUACACUCGACAGACAGAAAGACAUUAGACAUACUGACAACCAAAAACCCAUGAAAAGAAACAGACAGAUUGACCCACUUUAGACAAAGACAAAUUUCAGACGAGGCCCUAAAAAGACCAACAGACUUCAGACUCUUGAAACAGACAGACAAUUGACUGACAAGACUUCUUCUUUGACUUCACUCAAAGACGAAAAGACAAAUGGAAUUAAUCUG